rnacentral:rRNA from 1 species
UACGUAGGGUGCAAGCGUUGUCCGGAAUUAUUGGGCGUAAAGAGCUCGUAGGCGGUUUGUCGCGUCUGCUGUGAAAACCCGAGGCUCAACCUCGGGCCUGCAGUGGGUACGGGGCAGACUAGAGUGCGGUAGGGGGAGAUUGGAAUUCCUGGUGUAGCGGUGGAAUGCGCAGAUAUCAGGAAGAACACCCGUGGCGAAGGCGGCUCUCUGGGACGGUACUGACGCUGAGGUGCGAAAGCGUGGGGAGCAAACAGG